rnacentral:lncRNA from 13 species
AAAAAUGUCAGAUUUGACUCAGCUAUAUACAUUAUUUUUUGUAUUUGAGUCAAACUUCAAACUGCCACUCUGUUAUUGCAGUUGGGUUGGGCAUAAAACUAGAAAACAAUUAUUUGACAGGUAUUAAAUCUGUUCUUCGUUUCGGGCAAUAUGACAUGCGUUGACUUUGACAUGAUUAAGGUAACUACUGUGCAGGUGCAUGACAGCAAUAGCAUUUGACAUAUCAAAGAUAUUUAAUUUGGGGCUUUCUGCAGAGACCAAAGCGAAUCGGAUGACGAUCUGAUUUCCGGUCAGUUUUGCUGUUACUUGCAAAACAGUACUUGGUUAUGAUUUGAGCAAGAUACAUUGAUCCCAGAUCUGCGUUUAUCGGCAACCUCCGUGUGCUGGCGACCACGUGUCUGUGCGCUGACCAAUGGCAACGCUCCUAGCUAUAGCUGAACGAAGCCAUGUGAGGAUCUGUAAAAUGGCGGCGCAGUGGCGUGGAAAAGAUGAGCUUAUAAUCACCGGCAAUACGGAAUUUCUGACCGCAAACACAUUCAAUGAGGCUGUCCUGGGUAAAGGGGAAGUCAGUGAUCUGGAAAUGGACACUCACUCCUGCCUGGACCCUUCCAUCCUGGCUAUGUUUGAAGACUCCGCCGUAGCUGCAGAGGUCAGCAUCAGGACAUAAUGUUGGCCAACAUUCAGAUAUACUGGGGCGUAUUCAUUAUGCUGAUUCUGUUGUAAAACGUUUCUUAAAAGAAGGCAAAUGAAACAGGGAGGGAACUACCUGAAUUUGUCUAAUAGAAACUCUAAUUUUGUUGUUUGCUACAGUUUGGGUCUUAAACGGCUUCUGUAAUGAAUACGCCCCUGAUGUAGAACCUGUUCCCAUCUGAGACAGGUUCUACAUCAGUGGUUCCCAAACUUCAGGUCGGGACCCAAUCUGGGGUCCCCUGAGAAAAUGUGUGAUCUUAUCAAACAAAUGAAGAUUUUUUUUAAAUCUUGAAAUGGGCAUAGAGUACAACCUUUUAGUGUCGACUAAGGGCCUUUUACACUAUUAGAAUGCCCUUUCGUGUCAUUAUGAUGGGUUGGGACAGCCUGCGGGGCCU